AGUGAACGCUGGCGGUAGGCCUAACACAUGCAAGUCGAACGGCAGCACAGUAAGAGCUUGCUCUUACGGGUGGCGAGUGGCGGACGGGUGAGGAAUACAUCGGAAUCUACUUUUUCGUGGGGGAUAACGUAGGGAAGCUUACGCUAAUACCGCAUACGACCUGCGGGUGAAAGCAGGGGAUCUUCGGACCUUGCGCGAUUGAAUGAGCCGAUGUCGGAUUAGCUAGUUGGCGGGGUAAAGGCCCACCAAGGCGACGAUCCGUAGCUGGUCUGAGAGGAUGAUCAGCCACACUGGAACUGAGACACGGUCCAGACUCCUACGGGAGGCAGCAGUGGGGAAUAUUGGACAAUGGGCGCAAGCCUGAUCCAGCCAUACCGCGUGGGUGAAGAAGGCCUUCGGGUUGUAAAGCCCUUUUGUUGGGAAAGAAAAGCAGCAGGUUAAUACCCCGCUGUUCUGACGGUACCCAAAGAAUAAGCACCGGCUAACUUCGUG
rnacentral:rRNA from 1 species